GCGGAAGUAGCUCAGUUGAUAGAGCAUUAGCCUUCCAAGCUGAGGGUCGCGGGUUUGAGCCCCGUCUUCCGCUCUA
rnacentral:tRNA from 146 species